UACAGAGGGUGCAAGCGUUAAUCGGAGUUACUGGCGUAAAGGGCGCGUAGCGGUGAUAUGGAGUGUGAUGUGAAAGCCCCGGGCUUAACCUGGGAAGUGCAUCGCAAACGAUAUGACUGGAGUAGAUGAGAGGGUGGCGGAAUUUCCGGUGUAGCGGUGGAAUGCGUAGAGAGUCCGGAAGAACACCGGAGGCGAAGGCGGCUUGCUGGGCAUGGUCU
rnacentral:rRNA from 1 species